rnacentral:rRNA from 1 species
AGAGUUUGAUCCUGGCUCAGGAUGAACGCUAGCGGUAGGCAUAACACAUGCAAGUCGAGGGGCAGCAUAAUUGAAGCUUGCUUUAAUUGAUGGCGACCGGCGGAUGGGUGAGUAACGCGUAUGCAACCUGGCUUAUACAGGAGGAUAGACACUGGAAACGGUGCGUAAUACUGCGUAAUGUUAUUGAGAGGCAUCUCUUGAUAAAGAAAGAUUUCGAUUGGUAUAAGAUGGGCAUGCGUAGGAUUAGCUAGAUGGUGAGGUAAUGGCUUACCAUGGCGACGAUCUUUAGGGGUUCUGAGAGGAAGGUCCCCCACAUUGCAACUGAGAACGGUGCAAACUCCUACGGGAGGCAGCAGUGAGGAAUAUUGGUCAAUGGGCGGAAGCCUGAACCAGCCAUACCGCGUGCAGGAAGGCGGCCUUAUGGGUUGUAAACUGCUUUUAUAUUGGGAUAAAGGGCUUGUCGAGAACAAGCAAUUGAAGGUACAGUAUGAAUAAGUAUCGGCUAACUCCGUGCCAGCAGCCGCGGUAAUACGGAGGAUACGAGCGUUAUCCGGAUUUAUUGGGUUUAAAGGGUGCGUAGGCGGACAUUUAGGUCUAUGGUGAAAUCGUUGUGCUCAACACAAUUCAGCUGUAGAAACCGAGUGACUAGAAUAUAAGUGGCGCAGGCGGAAUAAAGCAUGUAGAGGUGACAUUCAUAGAUAUGCUUUAGAACACCGAUCGCGAAGGCGGCUUGCGAAGGUAUGAUUGACGCUAAUGCACGAAAGCGUGGGUAUCGAACAGAAUUAGAUACUCUGGUAGUCCACGCUGUAAACGAUGAUAACUAUAUGUUGGCGAUAGACGGCCAGUGUAGCAGCGAAAGCGAUAAGUUAUCCACCUGGGGGAGUACGAUCGCAAGGUUGAAACUCAAAGGAAUUGACGG